AACCUCCGCAAUGUGAGAAAUCGCGACGGGGGGAUCCCAAGUGCCAUUCUUAACGGGAUGGCUUUUCAUUAGUGUAAAGAGCUUUUGGAAUAAGAGCUGGGCAAGACCGGUGCCAGCCGCCGCGGUAACACCGGCAGCUCUAGUGGUAACAAUUUUUAUUGGGCCUAAAGCGUCCGUAGCCGGUUUAAUAAGUCUCUGGUGAAAUCCUGUAGCUUAACUGUGGGAAUUGCUGGAGAUACUAUUAGACUUGAGACCGGGAGAGGUUAGAGGUACUCCCAGGGUAGAGGUGAAAUUCUGUAAUCCUGGGAGGACCGCCUGUUGCGAAGGCGUCUAACUGGAACGGUUCCGACGGUGAGGGACGAAAGUUAGGGGCGCGAACCGGAUUAGAUACCCGGGUAGUCCUAACUGUAAACGAUGCGGACUUGGUGUUGGGUGGCUUUGAGCUGCUCCAGUGCCGAAGGGAAGCUGUUAAGUCCGCCGCCUGGGAAGUACGGUCGCAAGACUGAAACUUAAAGGAAUU
rnacentral:rRNA from 1 species